UACAGAGGGUGCAAGCGUUGUUCGGAAUUAUUGGGCGUAAAGGGCGUGUAGGCGGUUUGCUAAGUCAUGUGUGAAAUCCCCCGGCUUAACCGAGGAACGACGCAUGAUACUGGCAAGCUAGAGUACCAAAGAGGGGGGUGGAAUUCCCGGUGUAGCGGUGAAAUGCGUAGAUAUCAGGAGGAACACCUAUUGCGAAGGCAGCUCGCUGGGACGUAACUGACGCUGAGACGCGAAAGCGUGGGGAGCAAACAGG
rnacentral:rRNA from 1 species